UUGCAGUAGACCGGGAAGUCGGGGUCGCCCAUCUCAUAGACGAGCAAAUACAGGUUCUUCACCUGCGCGGCGAA
rnacentral:tRNA from 1 species